CCUUCGAUAGCUCAGUUGGCAAGAGCGCAAGAUGAAUGUUAAAGAUAUUGUAUGCUUCAGUCUUGAGGUCGUCGGUUCGAUACCGGCUCGAAGGA